GUGCCCGUAGCUCAAUAGGAUAGAGCACCGGCCUUCUAAGCCGGGGGUUGUGGGUUCGAGUCCCGCCGGGCAUGCCA
rnacentral:tRNA from 1 species